GUCUUUUCACUUGGGAAUCAUUCCUGGCUCGUUCUCCUUCCUCGUGCGGUUGGUCUUUCUUGCCGUGGACGUUCUUUCGCUUCUUUGGUGUCUCGACUCGCCAUGGAAGCUCUUCCUGUUUAUUGUCCUUGUGACUGGCGCCAUCCUUCCUAAUCAUGGACCCAUCUCGGACUUUUGCUCUCUAACGACAACAAUGUUUCGACUCUCUGGGCUUGGAUCGGCUCGAGUGGCCUACACUUUGCUUCUAGAAGCCAAUCGAAUCCAAUGAUCAUGUGAACUUCUUCGCAAGUACAGCACUGACUUGCUGCUGAGCUUGGGUUGGCUCGAAUGACCUGCUUCUAGAAGCCGAUCGUCUACAAUGAUCACCCCAGUGUAACCCUCUUCGCGAUUACAGCAUUAUUUCGCAGACAUUAUUCAUCUCGCCUUGAGAGGCGAUCGCCUUCAGCGUGACCACACCUGAACAACGGAACUACUCUGAUGUGGUGCUGCAUCUGAGAGGGGUUCAACGUCGGGAUCGUUCUUGUGCACCCAUACAUGAAGGCCUCAUCGGUCCGGCUGAGCAAAUCCUCCGUCCUACCAUCAUACACAUUGAUCUUUGCUAUUCUGUUUUGCAAUGGAGUUUUAAAACUUACAA